rnacentral:rRNA from 1 species
CAAUAGCGUAUAUUAAAGUUGUUGCGGUUAAAAAGCUCGUAGUUGGAUUUCUGCCGAGGACGACCGGUCCGCCCACUGGGUGAGUAUCUGGCUCGGCCUGGGCAUCUUCUUGGAUAACGUAGCUGCACUUGACUGUGUGGUGCAGUAUCCAGGACUUUUACUUUGAGGAAAUUAGGGUGUUUCAAGCAGGCACACGCCUUGAAUACAUUAGCAUGGAAUAAUAAGAUAGGACCUCGGUUCUAUUUUGUUGGUUUCUAAAGCUGAGGUAAUGAUUAAUAGAGAUAGUUGGGGGCAUUCGUAUUUAAUUGUCAGAGGUGAAAUUCUUGGAUUUGUUAAAGACGGACCACUGCGAACGCAUUUGCCAAGGAUGUUUUCAUUGACCAAGAACGAAAACUAGUGGAUCGAAGACGAUUAGAUACCGU